rnacentral:sRNA from 1 species
GGCUGCUCCCAAGGUAGUUGAGUUAUCUCAAUUGAUUAUUCGCAGUCAGUUACAGACCAAACUCCUGUUCUAUACUGUCCUGCACUUGACUAGUCUUUA